CACGUAGGGCGCAAGCGUUGUCCGGAAUUAUUGGGCGUAAAGAGCUCGUAGGCGGUCUGUUGCGUCCGCUGUGAAAACUCGGGGCUUAACCCCGAGCCUGCAGUGGAUACGGGCAGACUAGAGGUAGGUAGGGGAGAAUGGAAUUCCCGGUGUAGCGGUGAAAUGCGCAGAUAUCAGGAGGAACACCGGUGGCGAAGGCGGAUCUCUGGGCCAUUACUGACGCUGAGGAGCGAAAGCGUGAGGAGCGAACAGG
rnacentral:rRNA from 1 species